AUGGCCUGGUCUUCUCUCCUCCUCACUCUCCUCGCUCACUGCACAGGGUCCUGGGCCCAGUCUGUGCUGACGCAGCCGCCCUCAGUGUCUGGGGCCCCAGGGCAGAGGGUCACCAUCUCCUGCACUGGGAGCAGCUCCAACAUUGGGGCGGGUUAUGUUGUACAUUGGUACCAGCAGCUUCCAGGAACAGCCCCCAAACUCCUCAUCUAUGGUAACAGCAAUCGGCCCUCAGGGGUCCCUGACCAAUUCUCUGGCUCCAAGUCUGGCACCUCAGCCUCCCUGGCCAUCACUGGACUCCAGUCUGAGGAUGAGGCUGAUUAUUACUGCAAAGCAUGGGAUAACAGCCUGAAUGCUCA